rnacentral:rRNA from 1 species
AUUGAACGCUGGCGGCAUGCUUUACACAUGCAAGUCGAACGGUAACAGGCCUUCGGGUGCUGACGAGUGGCGAACGGGUGAGUAAUGCAUCGGAACGUGCCCAGUGGCGGGGGAUAACGCAGCGAAAGCUGUGCUAAUACCGCAUGUGAUCUGAGGAUGAAAGCGGGGGACCAGGCAGCAAUGUUUGGCCUCGCGCCUUUGGAGCGGCCGAUGUCAGAUUAGGUAGUUGGUGGGGUAAAGGCCCACCAAGCCGACGAUCUGUAGCUGGUCUGAGAGGACGACCAGCCACACUGGGACUGAGACACGGCCCAGACUCCUACGGGAGGCAGCAGUGGGGAAUUUUGGACAAUGGGCGCAAGCCUGAUCCAGCAAUGCCGCGUGCGGGAAGAAGGCCUUCGGGUUGUAAACCGCUUUUGUACGGAACGAAAAGACUCUGGCUAAUACCUGGGGCUGAUGACGGUACCGAAAGAAUAAGCACCGGCUAACUACGUG